rnacentral:rRNA from 2 species
UACGAAGGGUGCAAGCGUUAAUCGGAAUUACUGGGCGUAAAGCGUGCGUAGGUGGUUUGUUAAGUCAGAUGUGAAAGCCCUGGGCUCAACCUGGGAACUGCAUUUGAUACUGGCAGGCUAGAGUGCGGUAGAGGGUGGUGGAAUUCCCGGUGUAGCGGUGAAAUGCGUAGAGAUCGGGAGGAACAUUCGUGGCGAAGGCGGCCACCUGGACCAGCACUGACACUGAGGCACGAAAGCGUGGGGAGCAAACAGG